rnacentral:tRNA from 1 species
UUUUAAAUAGUUUAAAUUAAAAUUUAAUAUUGAAGAUAUUAAGAUAGAUUGAGUUUCUUUUAAAAA